GAAAGAAAAGAGAAAAAGAAAAGUGAUAAAUGAGGCUACAAGACAGAAAUCAAAAUAUCAAAUUUGUUGUUGAUCAAACUGGUUGACAGUUGCAGACAAAAGGGCUUAUGUGACAGUCUCUUCAUUUGCUCCUUCUUCAGAACCCCUGGAAAGUGAUGAUCCACCCAAGCAAAUGUUUGCAUCUUUGGAGUACACAUACAUUGCAGGGCCAGCCCUACUGCCCCUGGUCUGGAGCUGGUAAGGAAGAAAACAGGGAUCCCCCUGCUUCUUCUUUACCCUUUGGAGUGAUAUGGACCAGUGCACAUCAGAACAUUGUCACUCAUAAGUAGAUAAGUUAGCAUUCAUUCCUUCUUUGAGGGAGGCACAAGAGGAGGCAAUUUUUGAAACAGAAAGAGCCCAGUUGUGUUAUCUAGGGAAAAUCCCUCCAUCUAGAUACACAAAACUAGUGGAAUGAGGCUGAGCCCCCAACACACACACACACACAUACUCAUAAAUGUCUUUAGGCUUUAUUGAAGGACAAGCAAAUACAAAUAUUUUUACAAUGAUUUUGCUAUGGAUGACUGUGAUU
rnacentral:lncRNA from 1 species